rnacentral:rRNA from 1 species
GACGAACGCUGGCGGCGUGCCUAAUACAUGCAAGUCGAGCGGACGGAUGGGAGCUUGCUCCCAGACCGUCAGCGGCGGACGGGUGAGUAACACGUGGGCAACCUGCCUGUAAGACUGGGAUAACUCCGGGAAACCGGGGCUAAUACCGGAUAACUCUUUCCCUCACAUGAGGGAAAGCUGAAAGAUGGCAUCUCGCUAUCACUUACAGAUGGGCCCGCGGCGCAUUAGCUAGUUGGUGAGGUAACGGCUCACCAAGGCGACGAUGCGUAGCCGACCUGAGAGGGUGAUCGGCCACACUGGGACUGAGACACGGCCCAGACUCCUACGGGAGGCAGCAGUAGGGAAUCUUCCGCAAUGGACGAAAGUCUGACGGAGCAACGCCGCGUGAGUGAUGAAGGUUUUCGGAUCGUAAAACUCUGUUGUCAGGGAAGAACAAGUACCGGAGUAACUGCCAGUACCUUGACGGUACCUGACCAGAAAGCCACGGCUAACUACGUG